CCGCAGCUCCUGCUGCCGCAGCUCCAGCCGCUGCCGCUCGAUCAUCUCGGGCUCCGACUCGAGCGCGUCGAAGACCGCGGCGCCCACCAGCAGUCUCAGAUUCUUGGAGGAAGCUGGAUCAUGCGAGAGAGGGAGAAAAUGGGAGAGGAAUCCCCCAGAGAUGGGGGAGAAGAGCACGAAGGAGACAGGUGAGACCCCGGGCUAUGGCUGUGCCCCUUCCAUCUGUGUUGGCUCCCUUCCCAGAGGAAGAACUCUGUCGAAGAUUUCUGGAUGCUGACAAGAUGCAGAGGAUAGAUUUGAAACAUCAGUCCCUUCCAGCGCUGAAAUUCUGGGAUUCUCGGUUGGGACCAAGCUACUGGUGGGACCCAAAAGCGUCAGCGGGUCAGCCUUGUGCAGGGAACAAAAGGCAGGGGACUACAGCAGUGACGACCUGUGGCGCCUGGGCCGGCCAUGGCCUCUCUGUGAGUCUCAGCUUCUUCCUAAACUGCAGGAAAACGAGGGAGCUGUCUCCCCAUAGCCUCUCUCACACGGUGGUUGGGGACUCCGAGUGAGAUGAUGAAUGCGAAACUAAGACUAAUUAAUUCCAUAAAAAAGGCGAGAACAUAAACUAAAAAAGCUUCUGCAAGGCAAAGGAAACCAUCUACAAAACGACAGGCAGCCUGCGGAAUGGGAGAAAACAUUUGCAAAUCAUGUAUCUGAUAAGGGGUUAUCAUAUAUGUAAAUAACUCCUGCGACUUGAUAGGGAAAAAAACACACGACCCAAUUAAAAAAUGGGCAGGUAGCUGAAUAGACAUUUUCCCAAAGAAGACAUAAAUGGCCAAUAGGCACACGAAAAGACGCUCAACUCCACUCACCACCUGGGAAAUGCAAAUCAAGACCACAGUGAGAUUGCGUCUCCCACCUGUAAGAAUGGUUA